CAGUAGCCACGGGAAUACGGAGGGUGCAAGCGUUAAUCGGAAUUACUGGGCGUAAAGCGUGCGUAGGCGGUUCGUUAAGUCUGUUGUGAAAGCCCCGGGCUCAACCUGGGAAUGGCAAUGGAUACUGGCGAGCUAGAGUGUGUCAGAGGAUGGUGGAAUUCCCGGUGUAGCGGUGAAAUGCGUAGAGAUCGGGAGGAACAUCAGUGGCGAAGGCGGCCAUCUGGGACAACACUGACGCUGAGGCACGAAAGCGUGGGGAGCAAACAGGAUUAGAUACCCCCGUAGUCCCUGUCUCUUAUAC
rnacentral:rRNA from 1 species